rnacentral:rRNA from 1 species
AUACGGAGGAUCCGAGCGUUAUCCGGAUUUAUUGGGUUUAAAGGGUGCGCAGGCGGCCAUUUAAGUCAGCGGUUAAAUCGUGGGGCUCAACCCCAUUCUGCCGUUGAUACUGGGUGGCUUGAUUGCGGUCGAGGUUGGCGGAAUUCGUUGUGUAGCGGUGAAAUGCAUAGAUAUGACGAAGAAAACCGAUUGCGUAGGCAGCUGACCAGACCGCAAAUGACGCUCAUGCACGAAAGUGCGGGGAUCGAACAGGAUUAGAUACCCUGGUAGUCCGCACAGUAAACGAUGAAUACUUGUUUUCGGCGAUAUAAUGUCGGAGGCAAAGCGAAAGCGAUAAGUAUUCCACCUGGGGAGUACGCCGGCAACGGUGAAACUCAAAUGAAUUGACGGGG